GCCUCAUUAUUCAGUGGGAUAUUCAAAAAAUCCUCCAAGUCUAAAGAACUGCUUCCAUCUGCACAGGCUGCCUUGACAUUACAAAAUCCUGAACUGUCUGCCAGCAAUGACAGUUUAACCAGCAAGUCAAAGGAUAAAUCAGGUGAGCUGGGUGGAUUACGGAAACUAUCUCCCAAACCAAGACAUGUGCGGAGGCCUUCGCAGGAUCUAAAGGACAUCUCAGCCAGUAAUGACAAUCUGUCUGAGGACACCAAUGCAAAGG